AAUGAAUCUUUUGGCAUAUUUUUCCUUUCAAACAUGAUUGACUCGUUGCAUAUGUAAAAACGCAUAAUAGACAUGAAGUUAGGUGUUGAUUCUUUUAGAUUAGAAAUAAAAUGAAAUUAGCGUGACGCGGGAGUGUAAGGGAAUGAUUGUUUUGACUCCCAAACCCUCAACCCAAGACAUGCAAUUUGGAAACUUAAUCACCUAGUUAACCCCUACUUGAUUCUACAACCACCUAUGUGGCAUGCAUAAACAAGCAAUAGGAAACUUUAAAAAGGAGGAAAAGAAAGACGCCAUGACUUACCCGAUAUGUUAAUCCCAACUCCUCGACU
rnacentral:lncRNA from 1 species